rnacentral:ncRNA from 1 species
UGGCCUUUCUUAGGUCGUGGAGUGAUUUGUCUAGUUAGUUCCAAUAGCGAACGAGACUCAAUUACGUUAAAUAGACGCUUUUAGUGUUAUGGUGUUGAAACUUUUAUGGCCUUCAUUUACGAGCAAAGUGAACUGUGUGAGUAUUUGUAUGUAUUUAAAUGAAAUAGAACCGUACUUGUUGGCUUGUCCUUUUAUAGGACACUAGCUUCUUAAAUAGACAAAUUGCGUCUAGCAAUAAUAGAUCUGUGA